AGAGUUUGAUCCUGGCUCAGGAUGAACCUUAGCGGCAGGCUUAACACAUGCAAGUCGAGGGGCAGCAGCGAGGAGUAGCAAUACACUUCGGCUGGCGACCGGCGCAAGGGUGCGUAACGCGUGAGCAACAUGCCCGUAUCAGGGACAUAACCGGUGGAAACGCCGCCUAAUUUCCCAUAACAUGUGAAGAGGCAUCUCUUUAUAUUGAAAGAUUCGUCGGAUACGGAUUGGUUCGCGUGAUAUUAGCUAGUUGGUGAGGUAACGGCUCACCAAGGCGACGAUAUCUAGGGGUUCUGAGAGGAAGGUCCCCCACAUUGGAACUGAGACACGGUCCAAACUCCUACGGGAGGCAGCAGUGAGGAAUAUUGGUCAAUGGUCGGAAGACUGAACCAGCCAUGCCGCGUGAAGGAUUAAGGCCCUAUGGGUCGUAAACUUCUUUUGUACGGGAGCAAUAAGGCAUACGAGUAUGCCGAUGAGAGUACCGUACGAAUAAGCAUCGGCUAACUCCGUGCCAGCAGCCGCGGUAAUACGGAGGAUGCAAGCGUUAUCCGGAUUUAUUGGGUUUAAAGGGUGCGCAGGCGGCUUUUUAAGUCAGUGGUUAAAUCGUGACGCUCAACGUCAUCACGCCAUUGAUACUGGAGAGCUUGAUUGCGGUCGAGGUUUGCGGAAUUCGUUGUGUAGCGGUGAAAUGCAUAGAUAUGACGAAGAACACCGAUUGCGUAGGCAGCAGACCAGGCCGUAAAUGACGCUCAUGCACGAAAGUGCGGGGAUCAAACAGGAUUAGAUACCCUGGUAGUCCGCACAGUAAACGAUGAUAACUAACCGUUGGCGAUAUACAGUCAGUGGCUAAGCGAAAGCGAUAAGUUAUCCACCUGGGGAGUACGUUCGCAAGAAUGAAACUCAAAGGAAUUGACGGGGGCCCGCACAAGCGGAGGAACAUGUGGUUUAAUUCGAUGAUACGCGAGGAACCUUACCCGGGCUCGAACGGCUGGUGAAGAGAUCCAGAGAUGGUGACGUCCGCAAGGACACCAGUCGAGGUGCUGCAUGGUUGUCGUCAGCUCGUGCCGUGAGGUGUCGGCUUAAGUGCCAUAACGAGCGCAACCCUUUUCCGUAGUUACCAUCAUUCAGUUGGGGACUCUACGGACACUGCCAUCGUAAGAUGUGAGGAAGGAUGGGAUGACGUCAAAUCAGCACGGCCCUUACGUCCGGGGCGACACACGUGUUACAAUGGGCAGGACAGCAAGGAUCGAGGCGGUGACGCUGAGGGAAUCUCCAAACCUGCUCCCAGUUCGGAUCGGAGUCUGCAACCCGACUCCGUGAAGCUGGAUUCGCUAGUAAUCGCGCAUCAGCCAUGGCGCGGUGAAUACGUUCCCGGGCCUUGCACACAAGGCCCGUCA
rnacentral:rRNA from 1 species